rnacentral:rRNA from 1 species
AACGGGGGGUGCGAGCGUUGUCCGGAAUCACUGGGCGUAAAGGGCGCGUAGGUGGUUUGAUGAGGGUGUGGUGAAAGUCCGGGGCUCAACCCCGGAUCUGCCGUGCCGACUGUCAAACUCGAGGACUGUAGAGGCAGACGGAAUUCCGGGUGUAGCGGUGGAAUGCGUAGAGAUCCGGAGGAAGACCGGUGGCGAAGGCGGUCUGCUGGGCAGUUUCUGACACUGAGGCGCGACAGCGUGGAGAGCAAACAGG